rnacentral:rRNA from 1 species
UACGUAGGGUGCGAGCGUUGUCCGGAAUUAUUGGGCGUAAAGAGCUUGUAGGCGGUUUGUCGCGUCUGCUGUGAAAAUCCGGGGCUCAACCCCGGACUUGCAGUGGGUACGGGCAGACUAGAGUGUGGUAGGGGAGACUGGAAUUCCUGGUGUAGCGGUGAAAUGCGCAGAUAUCUGGAGGAACACCGAUGGCGAAGGCAGGUCUCUGGGCCACUACUGACGCUGAGAAGCGAAAGCGUGGGGAGCGAACAGG